ACUUUUAAAAAGAUAGAUUUGUAUUAUAGUUUGCUGUUAAUAUUGUUGCACGACUCAAAAAAAUUCUCAACAUCAUAUCUUAACUUUUACUACGAUACUCAGCAAAAUAAUUCUCGCUGGAUAUCGUGGCAGGGCUACAGUAUAUAACAUUAGUUAUGCAAUAACAUUUUUAUUAGUUGAUAAAACUAUUUAACCUGAUAACUUUGUGAGUAGAUACUACACUCUUAUAACAUUAACACUAUAUGCAUAUGUAAUCUCACAGCAAAGUAAACUCAAUCGAGCUAUUAGUAUCGGUUAGC
rnacentral:rRNA from 1 species